UAUCCGGAGAGAUCAUUUUGAAACUCCCGCUGUUUCCUACAGCUGGCUUUCAGGGGCGUAGGGGUGAAGGCGUACUGGGGGUCCGUUAGGUAUAAACAUUUGGGGGCUCAUGUUUCCCGAGGAAUAAAUUGUGAUUGAUUACUUUUAAACAUGUGUGCUGUGUGUAUGAAAUUGUCAGCGUGGAGGUGAUAUAGGGCCCGGUACCGGGCCGCAGAGAAAGAAAAAAUAAUUUCCAUUAUUAAAUUUUUUGUGUUGUUUUAUUUUGAAAAGUGGCCGGAUUCUCUCUGUUACAUCCGUCUGACUUGACGCAUGUCCAUUUUGUGUAUGCUAACUUUCCCUCGCCGCACAGAUAGACUACUACUGUAUUUUUAGCAUUUUUCUUUCACCUCAUAUUUGGUCUCAAAUGCUGAUAGUAUGUGGGAAUGCAUAAAGGUAAGUUUUGAUGACUUAUUGAGUGCUAAUGUGCACAUUUGUCUCAAGUUAAUUCAUGCUAGCACACUGCCUCUUACCACACACAUCAAACAGCGAUGUAAUCAUCUCUGUGGAAAAACUUGGCUGGAACUUGAACUGGUUGAUGGUGGGUCGGUGUUCAUUUUGUGCCGGUCCGUGGGUCAAAAAAGGUUGGGGACCACUGAUAUAGAGUACUUUGACCAACAGCAAAUUGUGUGUGACACAUGGAAAAGGAGACAGCUCGUCCCUCUGGUGUUUUAAGAAAUGCAUGAGGAGGGGGAUUGACACUUGUUCUGGGAAGGUGGGGACAAGCCACAGGUAGCAUAAUGGCUCAAUAAACAACGUCAUGAGAGUUUUGGCAUAUCAACAGCAAAUGUAUGACGUGUCUGUAUGAGCAUUUUGCCAUUACAGCGGAAGCUCUGAAGAUAAACACUACAAAAGUGUAUCAUACAUAUUAUCUCAUACAUGUUUCAUUACGAUGCCAAAUAUAUUUUUCUAUUAGCGGCCAGCCAUGUUGAAUAUAUACAAGUAUGGAUAUAUAUACAGGGUCAGGCAAAAUGAUCUGACACAUUUGUAGGUUAAACAAAAGGCAAAUAAAGUAAAAACAAGAAAGUGUUUUUAUUUUCGAAAAGUACAUAUAAUGCCAUUCUGUUUCAUUAUGUUUUAAAAGUUAAAUCAGUCAAAUGGGAUCCAUUAUUGUCCACACACCCAAUGCAGAUCCAGUAGCUCUGAAGUUGGUAACCCAUAACAAGAUGGUGUUUGGAGCUGGUACGGGAUCAUGUCUACCAAGAUUGAAGUGCAAACGGAACGCUCGUUGUGUUGCAGUUACAGAUUCGUUUGUUUUGAUAAACGUUUCCACAAUGAAAGCUCGAUGCCCACCAGUCCAAUUCAUGGCAGCAACUGAAAAAGAAAUGAAAAACAAUGGCAUUAUAAAGAAACAAAGCAAAAUGGCAUAUGUAAAAAAAUGGCAUUUUGCCUGACCCUGUAUAUAUAUAUUUGUGUGUGUGUGCGUAUAUAUAGCCUGAGGAAAAGAAAAAUUCAAAAAGUUAUAUCUCUCAAAUGUUUAAUCCAUUUCUCCUAGACAACUUUGAGGUCUGUGUGACACCAAACUGAGACUAAGGUUUAUUUCUCCAGUGUCUCAGAUGCACAAAAUCUCAAUUGUCUCAAUCAACUCUCAAAGUUUCAGAGAUCUCAGCAUGCUCUAAUAUAAUUCUCAGAGUUACAUGUGGGAGGGACCGCUAGGUAUGAACAUAUGUAGCGAUCAUUUUAUUUCCCAUUUGGGAAUCAUGUAGGGGGCGCAUUUUUUCCCCAGGCAAUAAAUUGCGAUUGAUUACUUUUAAACAUGUGCGGCACGUAUGCCCGGACAUUCCCGCCGUUUUCGCUCAGCACCAGAUGUUGUCAGGCCAGAGGGUCUGUAUAAAAAGCAUGCACCAAUGGUAGGUUUCCAGAACGAUCACAGGCUGAAAUCAGCGAACAACGUGAAGACAAAGAGCUUGAAGACAACUAUAACACAGCUGCAUAAGAGGUGUAUCUUCGCCAACAGAAGGAAUUGCAACAGUCGCUCCCUCGACGCUGGACGAGACGGUUGGAGAAUGCUACACGGAAUUCGUGGAAAACACCUCAGAGUUUGACAUGGGACAAGAAACAGGACGGCUGGAGGUGUCUUGACGCCGCAGUCUCCAACCAGGAAAGAUUAUUUUACAGAUAGUGAAAGUGAAUAUGUUGACAUGCAAGCUCAAAAUCAGAGAGAGAUAGUCUCAGACAAAAUUGAAAGAUUUGAAAAUUCAAAGAGUGCAUCGCAGGCUGCAAUUUGAAGACUAAUAUUUGAUCGGCUAAUAAAAUCAAGAAAAAUGGCUGAAUCAGAUCACAUCAAUUCCCCUGAAAUUCCACAACAUCUUCUCCAGUUGAUCUCUGAGAUGAACAGUGAAAGAGCAGCUGACAGGAAUAAUCAGGCUUCUCCGUCAAUUAGUCCACUUCAGCCUCGGCAAGAUUCUAUAGAAAGAGCU